UUUCAAUUUUAAUUAUUAUAAUCUGUAUGAGUCUAUUUUUUCCUCCAGCCUUUUUUUUUAAUUUUUAAGUAAUACUUAUGGAUUAUUAUUGUUAUAUACUUCUAAAGAUGUUAAGCAAAAAAGAAGCAAUUAUUAACAUGGCUAAGAUAUUGUUAUUGUUGUUAUUAUUAUUAUUAUUAUUAUUAUUAUUAUUAUUAUUAUUAUUAUUAUUAUUAUUAUUAUUAUUAUUAUAGCUGCAUUGGGUACAGAAGUGCCCAGUGGCAAGCAUUCUCCCAACUUUCCCCGCACUCUUCUUCUGAACUGAUCCACACUCCCAACCAAGUAAUCGACUAGUACACAUCAACUCUCUUUCUUCUUACUUCCAUGAUUCAUAUAAUAAAAAAAUCAUAGCCUUCUAUGCGCAUCAUGUCAGCAUCUUCUAAGGUUUUCAGAAAAAUUGUCUUCAAAUCUAGAAGGCGAGGCGAAGCGCAAAUGUCGACACCUGUGUAAUGAUUGGGAGCCCACAACUGAAAGACAAACAUCCCACACGAUCGGUGCGGGAUCCUCGGCGGUUGCCCACUGCGUACCGAUCGUUAACAGCAAAGAUCACGCGCGAACCGAACAGAGCUGUGUACGUGUGUGUUCUCAACCGUUCCCGGUGAUCCACCAAUGAGCUGCAACAGGGCGGGGUGGGGAAGACAAGUUACGUUUUGGCGGAACUGCUCAGGAUGUGCAAUAUAUAAAUAAUAUUGUUACAACUUUUAUUUAAUGUUUGUACAUGGUUAUAGCUAGGGACAAGAUUUUAUGGUUUUAUUUUUAGGUCAAUUUCAUUUUUGUAACAGGAGAUUUCGGUGUUAACAUUUUUAUUUUCAUAAGCUGUUUUUAUUGAUAAAAAUGGUGUAUUAUUCAACAAAUACUUAUUCAACCAAAGUAUUCUCAUCUUGACUGACACAUGAUGCACUUUAACAAUAAAAUAAUUUGUAAUAUGUAUGUCUAAAACAGAACUACACAGAAAAAAUAUAUUGGAAAUAUUUGUGUGUUUGAAAAAUGUGCUAAUGUUAUUAAUGUAAAAUGUGUAACUAAUAAGAGAAGCAAGAUAAAACAAUAUAAUACUAAUUUUUUUUCCAAUCCAUUUAAUUAAUAUAUUUUGGAACAAACUUCAUGCUAAAUAAAUUACAUUCACUGAAUUUACUUUAAUAAAAGAUACAAUUUUUGUGGUUUGAGUUAAGUUUUGUCUAAUUGCUGGUUGAUUUUAUGUUCGUAAUUACAUUUCAGUGCUAAAUGUGCAUAAACUUACAUUUCGGUGUUAUGUUCUAUUUACAUGCUGUGUGGUGCUAUUUAGGUAUUAUCGUAAUUCACCUUAAAAUCUGGUCCCUAGUUAUAGCUUCUGGGAAUGUACUCACAGUUAUAACUUAGAGAGAAUAAAAUUCCAGGCAGCUGUUACUUGUGCUAGGAAAAGUAAUGUGACGGUGACCACUGACCUGGAAAAUAGGGAAAAUUUGGAAAAUUGGGUAAAAGCAAAAAAAAAAAAUGUCCACAGGUAAAAAAAGAAAAGUUAAAUUGUAAAAAAAAAAACCAAACAAGAUAUUAAACAUUUUAUACAUACAUGUCUAAUGUAUUUUUUUUAUUCAUUUGUUAAUGCUUUACAUUACAAAAAAUAUGUAUAUGCAUUUAAAUGAUUAUGUUAUAAUUUACAGUGUUUUAAUAAACUGGCAUUGGUAUAUGGGUGUUUGUAAAUUUGGGCAUGGUGCAAGUGAAAAAGCACAAUACAUGCGGUGCAAAAAGUAAUUUGUGUGAAGUGCUUCGUUGCAUAUAGCAACUGGGGAAAGCUAAACAUGACAUGCAGCAAUAUUUUAUAGCAAUAAUGAGGGUUCAUAAUUUUUGGCUAACACUGCAACCACCAUCAGGCAGCAAUUAUCUCUUUAUCUGGUGACUACUAUAGUUGCAGUUGAAAAAAUGGGACGACUAAGUACCUUUGGUGUGGCCAAAACCCUAACAGUUGUAUGAAAAAAAUACAGGUGAUCUUGGCCACAGACGUUUGUUGUUGUAACUUCAUGUCACGGUGGUGACGACUACUCACGAAACAGGCGCUGGUGCCUCGGUCUUUCCUGCACUGGGCGUCCAGCGUGAGCAGUUUCCCGGGCAGCACUCGGGGCAAGCUCUCGUCUUCGUGAGGCGAGUUGAAGAGACACGUCGCGGUGUCUCCACUGCAACAUCAGCAGAAAAGAGAACAAUAAAAGAGAGUUGAGCCUGCUUCCACAAGGCAAGCACCAGCGCAGUAACGCACUCACUUGAGGAAGUGGUGGAAGGAGGCGAUGCUGCAGGGCGACCAGCGGAACCCGCGCUCCGUGUGGCGCAGGUCGCUCAUGAUGUAGCCGUCCUCCCAGCGGCACUUCUCCGCCCCCGGCCCGCCCAGGUAGCUGGGGGGCGGCGAGCCGUCGUGCACCGCUCCCAGCCUGUCGGGCACAUCGCGCCGCCUCCACCUCAGCCGCACACACUAUACACUACAUAUGGUUUUCGGCCCCCCUCGAAAUGACUAAAAUGGUUCUUUCAGACUGCUGUUAUGGAAAAAAAAAAACCAACCCGAGUGCAUAAAAGUGGUAAGGUUCUUGAGGUGCAUGAAAGUGUCGUGUCGAUCGUCUUCACAUAUAAGCCAAACCAAAUGGAUAAGAAAGCAUCAGCGAGGGAGUUAGCUGCAAGUCUUAAUUAACUGUGUUUCCUGCAGCAACCCACAAUUACAAAUUUAGUUCUUAACUUUAAAGUAUUGUAUAGCUAUGUUUAACUAAGCUGCCCAGUCGAGCAAAUAGUGCACUACCUUUAAAUAAUAAAUUACCGUAAAGCAUUAUCGCAUAUUUGUAUCAUUUAAGAUCUGCGCUGUGUUGCUCCGUACGUGAGAAUGUUCUCGACCAAUGCUUUCGGAACGGCAUGAAGACUUCCAGGCCGUUGCUAUCUGCGGAGCAGGCAAGGCGGGUCGUGUCAAUUACAAGGUCGCUGAGCUCUAGGGAGUCGACCCGCCAAGACGUCGCGGCGCUACAGUAGUUGUGUUUCAGUCCUUUCCCUAUUGACGUGAAUAUAUCUUUAAAAUUGCUUCCACAGUGGGAGGCAAUUCAAAAAACGAAUGAUACAGUUUGGUGUUGCAGCUACAUAUCCAUCAUUUCCAUCCAAAAUUUAAUUACACCACUGGAUAGUUAAAGGAUCAAAGAAUUCGUUAAUGCUAAGUGAGGACUGUGGAGGGGGAAGCGUCGCCAUUUUGAGGUCAUUUAGCUGCGUUUCGAGAUUUCCUUUUAGUGUAACUUUUGACUCGGGAGAAGCUGCGACGUUCGUUUGGGUUUCAAUCGUCAGCUCUCGUUAAAAAAAUAUUGAUCGCAAACAUAAAACAUUAGUGUAAAAUAGUUACAGUGAAUAUAUAAUGGUGUUAAAAUAAAAAAAAAUAGCGUAUUUUUUAUAUUUUGUAUAGAAAAUAUUGCCUGUUACGUACACGUAUUCACGUAAAACACAUAACCGUGUCCAUUACACAGGCACACCCCAUUUUUUUUUAAAAGUUGUUUGUAGUUAGAUUGCAGAAAUUACUUACCACUGACAUCAAUGAAAUAAAGAAUCUGAAGAAUACAUUCUGUGAUAGGAAUUAAACUGGGUGUGCGGCAAUCACAACACAAGUGUUUUAAGUGAAACUACACACUUCAAUUAUCCAACUUGAAAGAUAAAACAAAAUAUGUAAUGAAUUACUCAAAUAUAAACGAGCUAAAAUUGAUUUAUGUAA